rnacentral:rRNA from 1 species
GACAGAGGCCUCGAGCGUUAGGCGGAAUCACUGGGCUUAAAGCGUGUGUAGGCGGAUCGUUAAGUACCUUGUGAAAUCCCACGGCUCACCGUGGAACGGCUGGGUAUACUGGGCGGUCUUGGGGCCAUUCAGGGGGCGACUGGAACAAGCGGUGGAGCGGAUGAAAUGCGUAGAUAUCGAGAGGAACACCUGCGGCGAAGGCGGGUAGCUGGGC